rnacentral:tRNA from 1 species
GGAGGAGUGGCAGAGUGAAUAAUGUGUUUGACUUGAAAUCAAUGGACAAAGGUUUAAUUCCUUUCUCCUCUC